rnacentral:rRNA from 1 species
GUGACGAAGCGACGCCGCGUGUGGGAAGAAGGCCUUCGGGUUGUAAACCACUGUCGGGAGUUAGGAAAUGUAAGGGUGUUAAUAGUAUCCUUACUUGACUAAGGCUCCGGAGGAAGCCACGGCUAACUCUGUGCCAGCAGCCGCGGUAAUACAGAGGCGGCAAGCGUUGUUCGGAAUUAUUGGGCGUAAAGAGCACGUAGGCGGCCUUGCAAGUCAGUUGUGAAAGCCUUCUGCUUAACGGAAGAACAGCAGCUGAUACUGCAAGACUAGAGUGCGGAAGGGGAGAGUGGAACUUCUGGUGGAGCGGUGAAAUGCGUAGAUAUCAGAAGGAACACCGGCGGCGAAGGCGACUCUCUGGUCCGUAACUGACGCUGAGUGUGCGAAAGCUAGGGGAGCAAACGGGAUUAGAUACCCCGGUAGUCCUAGCCGUAAACGAUGGGCACUAAGUAGAGGGGUUUU